rnacentral:misc_RNA from 1 species
GAUGAAGAACGCAGCGAAAUGCGAUAAGUAAUGCGAAUUGCAGAAUUCAGUGAAUCAUCGAAUCUUUGAACGCACAUUGCGCCCGCCAGUAUUCUGGCGGGCAUGCCUGUUCGAGCGUCAUUUCAACCCUCAAGCACAGCUUGGUGUUGGGACUCGCGUUAAUUCGCGUUCCUCAAAUUGAUUGGCGGUCACGUCGAGCUUCCAUAGCGUAGUAGUAAAACCCUCGUUACUGGUAAUCGUCGCGGCCACGCCGUUAAACCCCAACUUCUGAAUGUUGACCUCGGAUCAGGUAGGAAUACCCGCUGAACUUAAGCAUAUCAAUAAGCGGAGGA